rnacentral:rRNA from 1 species
CACGUAGGGGGCAAGCGUUGUCCGGAUUUAUUGGGCGUAAAGAGCUCGUAGGCGGCUUAGUAAGUCGGGUGUGAAAUCUCGGAGCUUAACUCCGAAACUGCAUUCGAUACUGCCGUGCUUGAGGACUGGAGAGGAGACUGGAAUUUACGGUGUAGCGGUGAAAUGCGUAGAUAUCGUAAGGAAGACCAGUGGCGAAGGCGGGUCUCUGGACAGUUCCUGACGCUGAGGCACGAAGGUCAGGGGAGCAAACGGG